CCUACGGGUGGCAGCAGUGAGGAAUAUUGGUCAAUGGACGCAAGUCUGAACCAGCCAUGCCGCGUGCAGGAUGACGGCCCUAUGAGUUGUAAACUGCUUUUGUACGAGGAUAAACUCCGAUACGUGUACCUGGUUGAAAGUAUCUUACGAAUAAGGAUCGGCUACAUCCGUGCCAGCAGCCGCGGUAAUACGGAGGAUCCGAGCGUUUUCCGGAUUUAUUGGGUUUAAAGGGUGCGUAGGUGGUUUGUUAAGUUAGAGGUGAAAGUUCGGGGCUCAACCCCGAAACUGCCUCUAAUACUGUUAGACUAGAGAAUAGUUGCGGUAGGCGGAAUGUAUGGUGUAGCGGUGAAAUGCUUAGAGAUCAUACAGAACACCGAUUGCGAAGGCAGCUUACCAAACUAUAUCUGACGUUGAGGCACGAAAGCGUGGGUAGCAAACAGGAUUAGAUACCCGAGUAGUC
rnacentral:rRNA from 1 species